AAUUUCGGUAUAAAGAAUACAAUACAGCCUAAAACAUAAGCUAUUUAGAACUUUUGAAACCGACACACAAAAAAGUAAAAACAUAACAAAGAACAGCAGAAAAACAUGCAAGAACACGGACAUAAGUUUAUCAACACAUACACAUGCCUACCAUAUCAACCAUAUCAGUGAUGAAUAGCAGAAUCAAAAAAGAUAUUAGCAAAGCUUAAAACUAAAUAAGCACUUGAUGUACCAAGCACAAAAUGAAAUAUCAAUCAAUCUCUUGUCGUUUUAAAAAAUUACUCCAGAAAAAAAAAUGAUACAAACUGAAAGAACUAGUUUGACACAUUUUAACAUUUUAACAUGAAAUGAAUAAAAUUAUUUUUUAACUAUCUAAAGCUAGUGCUGCCAAUGUCCGACCCAAAAUGACCCUAAACGUAUUUUUUUUUUUUUUAUUACAAAUGCAUUUUUUUUAUAACAAAUGCAAUUUUACGUGACCUAUAAAUUUACCCAGAUGAAACAUAUUACGAAAAAUCGCACGUG
rnacentral:lncRNA from 1 species